UUUAAGUGUAGGGAUGCUCCUUUUUGUUGAGCCAUUGUGAAAGGCUCAGUUAUUUUUAUGAAUUAAUUAGAUUUUAUGUGUUCCAUGAUUAUAAGAAAAAAGUUAGGUUUUUUAGUCUUGAGAUGGUAAAAUUACCUGCCAUGGCUGUAGAAAAGAAUUAUAUUCCAGAAGUUACUUAAAGUUGUCUUAGUGGACUGAAGUGACUGAACACUGGAGUUACAUACAUAUCUUGAGAGCCUAUGUAUUAUGUUGUGAAGCCAGACAACUUGAGAUCGUGCGAUCUUCAUGUUCACUGAAGAUUUGUUGUAGAUGAUAGACAUCUAAGGGACUGUCCAUCAUUGUUUUUAAUGGAAACCAGAACUAGUUUUUUCAUGUUAGUUUCCUAAGCAUGAUUGAAAUAAGUUUGACUUAUUUUAAGUUCAUCGUAGAACCUAUAUCAUGACUACAUAAAAACUAGAAGCUGGUAGUGGUUUUGUUAUUGUUCUGUUCUUGAUCUAAUCUUAGUUUGCAUGUCUGUGCACACUUUUUUUCCAGGAGCUCUUGGCUAUCUAAAUUGUUUUUCUUUUUCCAAUUGUUAUGGUUCUCUUCGGGCUUCUAAAUGUCUCUCUGUUCGGUUGGUUUCUAAAUAUCCUAAACACCAUUUUCGUGGCUCUUGUAUUCUUGUGGUUAUCUGCAUAGCCCAGUAAGCAACUGGCCAAAUGGUAGCUGCGCUUUUAGGAAACAUAUAUUCAGGUUACGUUGUCAUCAUAUUUGUGAUAUGGGCAGUUAUUUAUAUUUUUUUUUCUGUUUUGUGUCUGUCAAAAAAAAAGUCAGAGAAGCAGAGCUACAAGGAAGAGGAGGGGUUCUUCUCUCUUUUUGUUGUUUUCUUCGAGAAUGUUGAGCCUAAUUGCAAUUUUUAGCUGUCUGUAACUUAACAGCAUAGCCAGUAAGACUCGUGAACCUGAAAAUUCAAUCAACAGAAGUAUAAAUGGACAAUGUUUGUAUCCGGAGGGUGCUUCUCUUCACCUUAACGCUGUUCAAAACUUGACAAGGUGUAGUAUCUUCCGUUCAAAUAAGUUCAACUAAA